rnacentral:pre_miRNA from 1 species
AGGAGGAACAACCGCAGUGGCGAGGCCAGCUCUCCAGCCCUGGAGUCAGCUCUCGCAGUAACUCCGGAGCUCUCCGUCUGCAGGGCCUGGAGGCUCCAGGGCAGG